rnacentral:rRNA from 1 species
AUGAUUUGUCUGGUUAAUUCCGAUAACGAACGAGAUCUUAACCUGCUAAUUAGCGGUAAAUACAACAUAUUCUUAAGUAAAUAAGAAUAUAGAUAAAAAUAACAAAUAAGAGAAUAUAUUAAGAUGUUAUUAUAUAUAAUGUCUUAUUCCCUGUUCUUCUUGUAUUGUUUUUUUAUUCUAUUUCUUUUUUUACGUAAGAAUGUAUUUACUUGAUUGUAAAGCUUCUUAGAGGAACAUUGUGUGUCUAACACAAGGAAGUUUAAGGCAACAACAGGUCUGUGAUGUCCUUAGAUGAACUAGGCUGCACGCGUGCUACACUGAUAUAUAUAACGAGUUAUUAAAAGUAUAUCUUUGUAUAUAUAUAUCUGUAUAUAUAUACAAAAGAUAUAAUUUUCCUCCACUGAAAAGUGUAGGUAAUCUUUAUCAAUAUAUAUCGUGAUGGGGAUAGAUUAUUGCAAUUAUUAAUCUUGAACGAGGAAUGCCUAGUAAUCAUGAUUCAUCAGAUUGUGCUGAGUACGUCCCUGCCCUUUGUACACACCGCC